rnacentral:rRNA from 1 species
AUUGAACGCUGGCGGAAUGCUUUACACAUGCAAGUCGAACGGCAGCACGGGUGCUUGCACCUGGUGGCGAGUGGCGAACGGGUGAGUAACAUAUCGGAACGUACCCAGUAAUGGGGGAUAACUAAGCGAAAGCUUAGCUAAUACCGCAUACGCCCUGAGGGGGAAAGCGGGGGAUCGAAAGACCUCGCGUAAUUGGAGCGGCCGAUAUCUGAUUAGCUAGUUGGUGGGGUAAAGGCCCACCAAGGCGACGAUCAGUAGCUGGUCUGAGAGGAUGAUCAGCCACACUGGAACUGAGACACGGUCCAGACUCCUACGGGAGGCAGCAGUGGGGAAUUUUGGACAAUGGGGGCAACCCUGAUCCAGCCAUUCCGCGUGAGUGAAGAAGGCCUUCGGGUUGUAAAGCUCUUUCGGCAGGGAAGAAACGCUCUGGGUUAAUAACCUGGGGUAAUGACGGUACCUGAAGAAGAAGCACCGGCUAACUACGUGCCAGCCGCCGCGGUAACAC